rnacentral:rRNA from 1 species
UGGGGAAUAUUGCACAAUGGGCGAAAGCCUGAUGCAGCAACGCCGCGUGAGUGAUGAAGGCCUUCGGGUUGUAAAGCUCUGUCUUCUGGGACGAUAAUGACGGUACCAGAGGAGGAAGCCACGGCCAACUACGUGCCAGCAGCCGCGGUAAUACGUAGGGGGCAAGCGUUGUCCGGAUUUACUGGGUGUAAAGGGUGCUCAGGCGGAUUUGUAAGUCAGAGGUGAAAUCUCACAGCUUAACUGCGAAACUGCCUUUGAUACUGCAAGCCUAGAGUAUGGAAGAGAGUGAUGGAAUAUCUGGUGUAGCAGUGAAAUGCGUAGAUAUCAGAUAGAACACCAAUGGCGAAGGCAGUCACUUGGUCCAUUACUGACGCUAAAGCACGAAAGCGUGGGUA